rnacentral:rRNA from 1 species
GAGUUUGAUCAUGGCUCAGGAUGAACGCUGGCGGCGUGCCUAACACAUGCAAGUCGAACGGAGUUCUUAAGGAAUGCGGCUUCGGCCAAAUGACUUUUGAACUUAGUGGCGGACGGGUGAGUAACGCGUGAGCAACCUGCCUUUCAGAAGGGGGAUAACAUUUGGAAACAGAUGCUAAUACCGCAUAAGAUUACAGUACCGCAUGAUACAGUGAUCAAAGGAGCAAUCCGCUGAAAGAUGGGCUCGCGUCCGAUUAGAUAGUUGGUGAGGUAACGGCUCGCCAAGUCGACGAUCGGUAGCCGGACUGAGAGGUUGAACGGCCACAUUGGGACUGAGACACGGCCCAGACUCCUACGGGAGGCAGCAGUGGGAAUAUGCACAAUGGCGAAAGCCUGAUGCAGCAACGCCGCGUGAGGGAAGACGGUUUUCGGAUUGUAAACCUCUGUUUCGGUGACGAACAAAUGACGGUAACCGAGUAGGAAGCCACGGCUAACUACGUGCCAGCCG